GCAGAAUUUUCCAUAAUAAACAUGGAAUCAAAGAGGGAGCCAUGUUAAUUUCAAAGAUAAUACCAAAUUAGCUACAGAAAUAUUAGUAGGGUAUCUGUAAUGUAUAUUUAAUGGAUAAAGAGAUUUUUCUAGUCUGUAUUGACAGCAGAAUAUAUUAAUUGCUGAGAUUAAGACAGCAUGUCUCCUUGGGAAAAAUUUAGUUAAAACUUGAAGUUAUUUUAUGUGAAUAAGUUUGAGAUACACAAGAGAGGAAAUCAGUAAUAGAACUAAAUGAUCUCUAGUAAUUUUUCUGAUCUUUGCUUAAAAAGAUUAUAGUUAUCUAGGCAACAUGAGAUUAGCAGUCACUUAAAUGAUUCCAAGACACUGAGAAUUUAACUUUUUUUUUUUUUCCUGAGAGAAUUUUCAUUUUUCUUAAACUUCAGACUAUGACC
rnacentral:lncRNA from 1 species